rnacentral:rRNA from 1 species
AUUGAACGCUGGCGGCAGGCUUAACACAUGCAAGUCGAGCGGGGGGAGGUAGCUUGCCACCUAACCUAGCGGCGGACGGGUGAGUAAUGCUUAGGAAUCUGCCUAUUAGUGGGGGACAACAUUUCGAAAGGGAUGCUAAUACCGCAUACGCCCUAAGGGGGAAAGCAGGGGAUCUUCGGACCUUGCGCUAAUAGAUGAGCCUAAGUCGGAUUAGCUAGUUGGUGGGGUAAAGGCCUACCAAGGCGACGAUCUGUAGCGGGUCUGAGAGGAUGAUCCGCCACACUGGGACUGAGACACGGCCCAGACUCCUACGGGAGGCAGCAGUGGGGAAUAUUGGACAAUGGGGGGAACCCUGAUCCAGCCAUGCCGCGUGUGUGAAGAAGGCCUUCGGGUUGUAAAGCACUUUAGGUCGGGAGGAAGGUUCGCUGGCUAAUAUCCAGCGGAAUUGACGUUACCGACAGAAUAAGCACCGGCUAACUCCGUGCCAGCCGCCGCCGUAACAC